rnacentral:lncRNA from 1 species
AUAUGUUUCCCCUUCUGAUUCCUCUGCUGAUUCACUCUUCCUUUUUGCCUUAUAGGUUUAUUCUGAACCUCCUUGUUCUGCACAGGUUUAUCAUCCCUAUAAUACCAACAUUCAAAUGCAUCAUGACCAAAUUUGAGACAAUGAUUACAAAAGGAAGGCUUCCAAUCGUAUUCAAUUGUCUGUAGCUUUGAGCCAUAUGGGGUGUCAAUCUCCAAUUCAUCUGGAAGAGGAUAGGCAGCAUCUACUUCAACAAGUACCCUAGCAAAUGAAAUCUUCUCAAAGCAUGCAGUAAAUUUGUCUGUAUAUAAUGGCCGACCAAUAGCACUAGCCAAUUUACUUAGCACUUCAGCAGACCAAUAACCAACAGGAAGACCAGGAAAUCGAACCCAAAUAGGCACAAUACUAAGC